rnacentral:siRNA from 1 species
UUAAGCGUGAAAACACCAGGG